rnacentral:rRNA from 1 species
AACGCGAAGAACCUUACCCAGGCUUGACAUGCAGAGGACGCUAUGAGAGAUUAUAGUUCCCUUCGGGGUCUCUGCACAGGUGCUGCAUGGCUGUCGUCAGCUCGUGCCGUGAGGUGUUGGGUUAAGUCCCGCAACGAGCGCAACCCUUAUCAUUAGUUGCCAGCACGUAAUGGUGGGAACUCUAAUGAGACUGCCUAGGUUAACUAGGAGGAAGGUGAGGAUGACGUCAAGUCCGCAUGGCCCUUAUGUCUGGGGCUACACACGUGCUACAAUGGUCGGUACAGAAGGCAGCGAAGCCGCAAGGUGAAGCAAAUCCCAAAAGCCGGCCCCAGUUCAGAUUGUAGUCUGCAACUCGACUACAUGAAGUUGGAAUUGCUAGUAAUGGCGUGUCAGCCACAACGCCGUGAAUACGUUCCCGGGCCUUGUACACACCGCGAGC